rnacentral:rRNA from 1 species
AGUGAACGCUGGCGGCAGGCCUAAUACAUGCAAGUCGAACGGCAGCACAGUGGAGCUUGCUCCAUGGGUGGCGAGUGGCGGACGGGUGAGGAAUACAUGGGAAUCUGCCCAGUCGUGGGGAUAACGUAUGGAAACGUACGCUAAUACCGCAUGCGCCCUUCGGGGGAAAGUCGGGGACCGCAAGGCCUGACGCGAUUGGAUGAGCCCAUGUUCGAUUAGCUAGUUGGCGGGGUAACGGCCCACCAAGGCGACGAUCGAUAGCUGGUCUGAGAGGAUGAUCAGCCACACUGGAACUGAGACACGGUCCAGACUCCUACGGGAGGCAGCAGUAGGGAAUAUUGGACAAUGGGCGCAAGCCUGAUCCAGCCAUGCCGCGUGAGUGAAGAAGGCCCUCGGGUUGUAAAGCUCUUUGUUGGGGAAGAAAGCAGUUGGUUAAUACCCGAUUGUUCUGACGGUACCCAAAGAAUAAGCACCGGCUAACUUCGUGCCAGCAG